rnacentral:rRNA from 1 species
AUUGAACGCUGGCGGCAGGCCUAACACAUGCAAGUCGAGCGGAAACGAUGGGAGCUUGCUUCCAGGCGUCGAGCGGCGGACGGGUGAGUAACGCGUGAGAAUCUGCCCAUUAGUGGGAGAUAACUCGGGGAAACUCGAGCUAAUACCGCAUAAUCACUACGGGGGAAAGCAGGGGACCUUCGGGCCUUGUGCUGAUGGAUGAGCUUGCGGCGGAUUAGCUUGUUGGUGAGGGAAAGGCUCACCAAGGCGACGUUCCGUAGCUGGUCUGAGAGGAUGACCAGCCACACUGGGACUGAGACACGGCCCAGACUCCUACGGGAGGCAGCAGUGGGGAAUCUUGGACAAUGGGGGCAACCCUGAUCCAGCCAUGCCGCGUGUGUGAAGAAGGCCUUCGGGUUGUAAAGCACUUUCAGCAGGGAGGAAGGCUUUGGGCUAAUACCCUGGAGUACUUGACGUUACCUGCAGAAGAAGCACCGGCUAAUUUCGUGCCAGCCGCCGCGGUAA